AUUGAACGCUGGCGGCAUGCUUUACACAUGCAAGUCGAACGGUAACAGGUUAAGCUGACGAGUGGCGAACGGGUGAGUAAUGCAUCGGAACGUGCCCGAUCGUGGGGGAUAACGCAGCGAAAGCUGCGCUAAUACCGCAUACGAUCUGAGGAUGAAAGCGGGGGACCGUAAGGCCUCGCGCGAUCGGAGCGGCCGAUGUCAGAUCAGGUAGUUGGUGGGGUAAAGGCUCGCCAAGCCAACGAUCUGUAGCUGGUCUGAGAGGACGACCAGCCACACUGGGACUGAGACACGGCCCAGACUCCUACGGGAGGCAGCAGUGGGGAAUUUUGGACAAUGGGCGAAAGCCUGAUUCAGCAAUGCCGCGUGCAGGAAGAAGGCCUUCGGGUUGUAAACUGCUUUUGUACGGAGCGAAAAGGCUCUCUCUAAUACAGGGGGCUCAUGACGGUACCGUAAGAAUAAGCACCGGCUAACUACGUGCCAGCCGCCGCCGUAAGAC
rnacentral:rRNA from 1 species